CAGAGAUGAAAAAAUAUCUCAAUCGGUGGAAUCAGAGGUUUUAUAGCAUACAUUUUGAUCAUAAAUCAGCAAACUCACUUUUUAGCGAAUAAACCCCUUCCUGUGACAAGACGGAGUAGUACGAUAUGACAAGGGGGCACUUACCCUAGUAAGAGGGAUUCUGUAAAAUGCUGGAUCAACUACAGCUACAACCUUUGUUAAUGCAUG